ACACCGGCAGACAGUGAUUGUGAUUCUGUCUUUUAUACCUCUAACUAGCCAAGUGAUAAGAAUAAAUCUAAAUUCUUAAAGUACAGGCCUUUGCAGACAGGCCUGAAUAUCUAUAUCCUAACAAGAACCAUCGUUAAUACACAAGUUGUGUAAUUUCUUCUUUUGCUGUUACCUGAUCUCACUGGUCUUCUUUCCCCUGAGCAGGGUUUCCAGUUUCCAAACCCGAUGUCAUAUCCCAGCUGGAACGAGGGGAAGAGCCGUGGGCCCCAGAUCUCCAGGGCUCAGAGGAAACAGAGAUCCUGAGAGGCAGCUGCAUGAGUGAGGGAUCAUUGAAGAAAACAGCUGGGAUUCCCAGCAAAGACCUUGUGAGGUCUCUGGGUUCAGGAUGGUCCCCAGCAGGUGUCAUAUCCUCUGGGCAAAUACUGUUUAUGGCUUCCUACCCAUCCUGAAAAAAGAAAAGGAGUACUUGUGGCACCUUAGAGACUAACAUGGCUGCUACUCUGAUACCCAUCCUGACUAACUCCUGGCAGUAGUUCCCUCCCCAAACUCCCAUCUCCCUGAGUGUUUGGAUGGGAACUGGAUGCAGAAUUGAUCCCCUCCUCUCGCCCCUUUGGGGAAGAGUUGGGGGAAAUUCAGUCCCUGAUUUUUUUCCAUCUUCAGCUAUUCUCUUGGUUUCUUCUCCCCUUUUCCCUUCCGGUUUCUAAGGUUUUUCUUUCUCUGUCCCAGCAGGUGAUGGGAUGGUGAGAGAGACCGUGGAACAGAAUCGUCAGCAGGAAGAUGAGCAAGUGGAACCACAUGGGGCGUUGUUGCAAAAAUGCAAAAAGAGCGUGUCCAGGAGUUGUGAGCAGGGAAAAGUCUCUCAGGGGCAGCACAGGCCAGAGAAGCGGCAGGGAAACCAGCCAGCGCAGAAAGUUGGAAUAUCUGUUAAUUAUUGGGGAACUCAUAAAGGCCUCAAGGAAACCACAGCCCAGCAGAGAAUCCUGACGGGAGAGAGAAAUAACACAGGCUUUGAGUGUGGGAAAAAGUUCAGGAGGCGCUCACACCUUAUUACCCAUCAGAGAAUCCACACCAGAGUGAGACUCUAUGGAUGCUGUAAGUGCGGGAAAACAUUCACUCAGCAUUCACACCUUAUUUGCCAUCAGAGGAUCCACACGGGAGAAACCCCAUGAAUGCUGUGAGUGUGGGAAAACCUUCUUUUGGUACUCAGCCCUUAUAAAACAUCAGAGGAUUCACACAAGGGCAAAAGCCUGUGAAUGCUGUGAGUGCGGGAAAACAUUCACUGAGCGCUCACACCUUAUUCGCCAUGAGAGGAUCCAUACAGGGGAGAAACCCUAUGAGUGCUGUGAGUGCGGGAAAACCUUCAUUCAGCACUCACAUCUUAUUGCACAUCAGAGGAGUCACACAGGGGAGAAACCCUACGAAUGCUGUGAGUGCGGGAAAACCUUCGCUUGGAGCUCAGGCCUUAUUACACAUCAGAGGAGCCGCACAGGAGAGAAACCCUAUACAUGCUGUGAGUGCGGGAAAACCUUCACUCAGAGCUCAAGCCUUAUCAUACAUCAGAGGAUCCACACAGGAGAGAAACCCCAUGAAUGCUUUUGCAGAGGAAUCGUCCAGAAGCCCUAGCCGGAGGAGAAGCUGGCAGAAGUGGACCUGAGCAUCCUUCUAAGGAGACGUGAAUAGUCCUCAUGUUUCUGCCUUCUGCAUAACUGCCUUCCCAAGGGAAAAGAAGUCAAGCGUUGGAGUCUACUGCCCUCGUGCGACAGAAAGAGAGCGACGAGACCGUGAGCGUUGUUGAUGCCACGGAAAAGUCAUCCAACUGGGAGCGGAAGAGCCGCCACCCUCGGUGAGGAGCGGUGUGUCCUCUGCAGCAGAAGGUUUGAUCCAGGAGGAUGACUCCAGGGGAGGAAUUGCUGAGGAGCCCUAGCCGGAGGAGAAAGUGGCAGAGAUGGACCUGAGCAGCUUGGACAUUGUUCUCAGCAGACGUGAACAGUCCUCCGCUUUCUGCCUCCCGCUUAACUGGCUUACCAAGGGAAAAGAAGUCGCGUGCCAGAGUCUACUGCUUCAUGCGAUGGAAAGCGAGUGACAGUGACAAGACCCUGCUCUUGCAGAGGAAUUGUCCAGGAGCCCAGCCAGAGGAGAAAGUGGCAGAGGUGUAGCUGAGCAGCUUGGGCAUCCUUCUGAGGAGACAUGAACAGUCCUCUCCUUUCUGCCUCCCGCAUAACUGGCUGCGUGGGAAAGAAGUCAAAUGACAGAGUUUACUCCACUCGUACGAUGGAAAGCGAGCGAGAGCAGGGAGACUGUGGGCCUUGUUGAAAUGAGGCAGGAGCCAUACAUUUGGGAGUGGAGCAGCCGCCACUAAAGACUGCUAAAAGUACCUGAAGGGACAAAGGAACUGAGCAGCGGGAACGUCCAGGGCUGAGUCCGGACUAAGACAGCAACUUGCCUAAAAACAACCUUUAGGGUCCCGGAUGACUGGAAGAAGGUUAAUGUAGCGCCCAUCUUUAAAAAAGGGAAGAAGGAGCAUCCAGAGAACUACAGGCCAGUCAGCCUCACCUCAGUCCCUGGAAGAAUCAUGGAGCAGGUCCUCAAGGAAUCAAUUCUGAAGCACUUAGAGGAGAGGAAAGCGAUCAGGAACUGUCAGCAUGGAUUCACCAAGGGCAAGUCAUGCCUGACUAAUCUAGUUGCCUUCUAUGACGAGAUAACUGGAUCUGCAGAUGAGGGGAAAGCGGCGGACGUAUUGUUCCUUGACUUUAGCAAAGAUUUUGAUAUGGUCCCCCCCAGUAUUCUUGCCAGUAAGUUAAAGAAGUAUUGGCUGGAUGAACGGACUAUAAGGCGGAUAGAAAGCUGGCUAGACCGUCGGGCUCAACGUCUCCAUGUCUAGUUGGCAGCCGGUAUCGAGCGGAGUGCCCCAAGGGUUGGUCCUCGGGCUGGUUUUGUUCAAUAUCUUCGUUAAUGAUCUGGAGGAUGGUGUGGAUUUCACCCUCAGCAAGUUUGCAGAUGACACUAAACUGGGAGGAGAGGUAGAUACGCUGGAGGGUAGGGAUAGGAUACAGAGGGCCCUAGACAAAUUAGAGGAUUGGGCCAAAAGAAAUCUGAUGAGGUUCAACAAGGACAAGUGCAGAGUCCUGCACUUAGGAUGGAAGAAUCCCACGCACCGCUACAGACUAGGGACCGAACGGCUAGGUAGCAGUUCUGCAGAAAAGGACCUAGUGGUUACAGUGGACAAAAAGCUGGAUAUGAGUCAAUGAUGUGCCCUUGUUGCCAAGAAGGCCAAUGGCAUUUUCGAAUGUAUAAGCAGGGGCAUUGCCAGCAGAUGGAGGGACGUGAUCGUUCCCCUCUAUUCGACAGUAGUGAGGCCUCAUCUGGAGUACUGUGUCCAGUUUUGGGACCCACACUGCGAGAAGGAUGUGGAAAAAUUGGAGAGUCCAGCGGAGGGCAACAAAAAUGAUUAGGGGACUGGAACACAUGACUUUUGAGGAGAGGCUGAGGGAACCUGGAUUGUUUGGUCUAUGGAAGAGAAGAAUGAGGGGGGAUUUGAUAGCUGCUUUCAACUACCUGAAAGAGGGUUCCAAAGAGGAUGGAUCUAGACCGUUCUCAGUGGUAGCGGAUGACAGAACGAGGAGUAAUGGUCUCAAGUUGCAAUGGGGGAUGUUUAGGUUGGAUAUUAGGAAAAACUUUUUCACUAGGAGGGUGGUGAAACACUGGAAUGCGUUACCUAGGGAGGUGGUGGAAUCUCCUUCCUUAGAAGUUUUUAAGGUCAGACUUGACAAAGCCCUGGCUGGGAUGAUUCAGUUGGGGAUCGGUCCUGCUUUGAGCAGGGGGUUGGACUAGAUGACCUCCUGAGGUUUCGUCCAACCUUGAUAUUCUAUGAUUGUCACUGUUGCUUCAUGAGGGAAAUGCGUUGAGGAUUAGCCCAAGUGGCCCCUUGUUGCCUCUCUUCCUUGGUGAGGGAAAUGGUUUGUGCAUUACCUGGAUUGGCCACCUGGUUUCACUCUUGCUCCAUGCGGGAAAUAUUUUAGUGAUGCCAGGUGGCCUCUCGAGGCAAUGCACACAGCAUUUCCCUCAUGGAGCAACAAUGACAGUGGGUGGUCACUCAGGGUAAUCCACAGUUGCUCCACGAAGGAAAUGCUUUGUGCGUUACCUCGAUUAGGCGCCCAGUGUCACUGUUGCUCCAUGAUAUAAAUGCUGUGUGCAUUAACCUGAGUGGCCAUCCGGUGUCACUGUUUCUCCAUGAGGGAAAUGUUUUGUGGAUUACUCCGUGGUCACCCAGCGUCACUGUUGCUCUAUGGGGAAAAUCCUCUGUGCAUAACCCUGCCCUUCCACCCGGUGUUACUGUUGUUCCAGGGCAGCUGCAGGCUGAGUUGCCUGUAAGGGUAUGUCUAUGCUGGCAUUGAAGGACAAAACUUUUGUCUUUCAGAAGCGUUAACCCCUUCCCCCAUCCCCCCACCCCGAAAGUAAAAGUUUUGCCACUACAAGUACCAGUGUGAACCACACACAUUGUCGGCAGGAGCGCUCUCCUGCUCACAAUACAAAUGCCACUCGUUGGGAGUGGAAGUUUUUUGUUGGCAGGAGAGACGACAAACAGCGGCUACGCUUCACGGCUUUUAGCAGCAGGGCUGAAUCCUAAGGGUAUGUCUACACUACCCGCCAGAUCAGUGGAUAGUGAUCGAUCUAUCGGGGGUCAAUUUUAGUCUAAACACGAUAAAUUGAUCGUGAGAGGCGCAAGCGGAGUGGACGGGGGAGCGGUGGCAGUCAACCCUGUGCCGCGAAGACGCCGAGGUAAGUUGACCUAAGAUACGUCGACUUCAGCUACGCUAUUCUCCUAGCUGAAGUUGCAUAUCUUAGGUUGACCCCGCCCCAGUGUGACCAGGGCUUAGAUAAAUGCAUGGUAGAGCCUGAGUACAGACGACUGCUUCCCUUUAAGUGAGGCUUGGUUUCUCAUAAAAGUUUUCUUCCUUAUUCUGGGUGUGGGAGGAGAAUUUCCCUAUUUUAUGAGUAGGUGUGGGUUUAUGACCAGGGGAAGAGACAACAGUCUUCUCUGCACAGUGACUCUCUUGAAUACAGGUGCAACGGGCUGCUUAACAUACGAACGUAAGAAUGGCAAUAUGGGGUCAGACCAAAGGUCCGUCUAGCCCACUAUCCUGUCUUCCGACUGGCUAAUACGAGGUGCUUCAGAGGGAAUGAAUAGAAUAGGUAAUCGAGAAGUGAUCCAUCCUGUGUCGCCCAUUCCCAGCUUCUGGCAAACAGAGGAUAAGGACACCAUCCCUGCCCAUCCUGACUAAUAGCCAUUGAUGGACCUAUUCUCCAUGAAUUUACCUAGUUCUUUUUUGAACCCUAUUAUAGUCUUGGCUUUCACAGCAUUCUCUGGCCAGCAAUUCCACAGGUUGAGUGUGUGUUGUAUGCUUUUUAAUUGUAUCUAUGAAGGUCUAAUGGGAGAAGGAGAAGAACCACCGACACAACAUUGCAGAUUCCGACGAUAACUUUUGUUUUUCCCUCUUGUGUUGUGCUUCGUGUCAAGGGUAAGAGCCCACCCCUGUUGUGAGAUGGAAAGCAUACAAGAGCCAUGAGACACUGAGCAUUGUUGAUGCCAGGCUACGGUGAUGCCGUCUAGCUGGAAGCAGAGCAGCCAUUGCUGUUAGUAAGAUAAGUGUCUGGUUUGGUGAGGAGUCUGGUCACGGCGCACCUGGCUCCAGGCAGGGACGCGCCAUUAGCUAGGUCUGUGUUUGUAAGAAAAGGUUCCUGACUAGCUGUGGCUACGGGGGAGACAAGGCCCCCAUUAUCAGGGGCUGCUCAUCUGUCUGGCCAGGAGAGGUGUGUCCACUGCAGCAAAAGGUUGGAUCCAGGAGGAUGACUGUAGCUGAGGAGUCGUCGAGCAGCAGCUGCAGGAGAAGCUGGCAGAGGUUGACCUGAGCAGCCUGGACAUUCUUGCCGUGAGCUUCCUCAUUGGGCAUGGGGCUCUGUGGGAUUAAGGCUGAGGAAGAGAGGCCUGCUCCAGGCCAGUGCAGCAGCCCCAGACAGAGGAGGAGCAUGUGGAGGAAGUGGACCUGCACAAUCUAGACAUUUCACUUGCCAACGGAGCUGAGGAGGUCUCUUGUGAUGUUGGAGGAGCCGGUGUUUGUUUGUGAAAUAUCUCUCUCCAGUAUCUGCAUAGUGAGUUCCUCGUGAGAUUGGGUAGAUGAGAGAAUGGCCAGCCUGUGGCAGAGACCUAAGAAGGAGCAGCCACCCUGAGCCCAUCCCUAGGGAUCGAAGCCAGACAGUGAUCUGCAGACAGCAACAGCACCUAAAGAAACACAGCUGGUGGAUGGGUCCUAGCCUGGAGGCCUCUGGACAGUACAGACUGUGAAGAGCAUACGUUAUGCCCGCGAUGGAUCGUCUGCACCCGAGUCGGGGAUAUUUCUGAAAGAGACGAGGAGGACCCAAGAAUAAGAGACAGCGACCUCAUCGUUAGCUGACCUCCUCUGUCUGUACUCACGGCAACAAGAUCGCUUGACGGACAAUUGGAGCAUCACCGAACUGUGGGGAGGGUGGUUGUGGCUGGAAGUCUUUCCAGUUAGUAUGAACUGCUGUAAGAUGUUGGGUGAGAAAACUUUUGGCUUUGAAAUGGUAUUUAGCUUGGUGAUGUUUAGGAAUUGGUUACAAAAGAAAUAAAUGUUGUAAGGCCAU